GGGUUGUGAGGUUAAGCGACUAAGCGUACACGGUGGAUGCCCUGGCAGUCAGAGGCGAUGAAGGACGUGCUAAUCUGCGAUAAGCGUCGGUGAGGUGAUAUGAACCGUUAUAACCGGCGAUUUCCGAAUGGGGAAACCCAGUGUGUUUCGACACACUAUCAUUAACUGAAUCCAUAGGUUAAUGAGGCGAACCGGGGGAACUGAAACAUCUAAGUACCCCGAGGAAAAGAAAUCAACCGAGAUUCCCCCAGUAGCGGCGAGCGAACGGGGAGGAGCCCAGAGCCUGAAUCAGUGUGUGUGUUAGUGGAAGCGUCUGGAAAGGCGCGCGAUACAGGGUGACAGCCCCGUACACAAAAAUGCACAUACUGUGAGCUCGAUGAGUAGGGCGGGACACGUGGUAUCCUGUCUGAAUAUGGGGGGACCAUCCUCCAAGGCUAAAUACUCCUGACUGACCGAUAGUGAACCAGUACCGUGAGGGAAAGGCGAAAAGAACCCCGGCGAGGGGAGUGAAAAAGAACCUGAAACCGUGUACGUACAAGCAGUGGGAGCCUCUUAAUGGGGUGACUGCGUACCUUUUGUAUAAUGGGUCAGCGACUUAUAUUCUGUAGCAAGGUUAACCGAAUAGGGGAGCCGAAGGGAAACCGAGUCUUAACUGGGCGUUAAGUUGCAGGGUAUAGACCCGAAACCCGGUGAUCUAGCCAUGGGCAGGUUGAAGGUUGGGUAACACUAACUGGAGGACCGAACCGACUAAUGUUGAAAAAUUAGCGGAUGACUUGUGGCUGGGGGUGAAAGGCCAAUCAAACCGGGAGAUAGCUGGUUCUCCCCGAAAGCUAUUUAGGUAGCGCCUCGUGAAUUCAUCUCCGGGGGUAGAGCACUGUUUCGGCAAGGGGGUCAUCCCGACUUACCAACCCGAUGCAAACUGCGAAUACCGGAGAAUGUUAUCACGGGAGACACACGGCGGGUGCUAACGUCCGUCGUGAAGAGGGAAACAACCCAGACCGCCAGCUAAGGUCCCAAAGUCAUGGUUAAGUGGGAAACGAUGUGGGAAGGCCCAGACAGCCAGGAUGUUGGCUUAGAAGCAGCCAUCAUUUAAAGAAAGCGUAAUAGCUCACUGGUCGAGUCGGCCUGCGCGGAAGAUGUAACGGGGCUAAACCAUGCACCGAAGCUGCGGCAGCGACGCUUAUGCGUUGUUGGGUAGGGGAGCGUUCUGUAAGCCUGUGAAGGUGUGCUGUGAGGCAUGCUGGAGGUAUCAGAAGUGCGAAUGCUGACAUAAGUAACGAUAAAGCGGGUGAAAAGCCCGCUCGCCGGAAGACCAAGGGUUCCUGUCCAACGUUAAUCGGGGCAGGGUGAGUCGACCCCUAAGGCGAGGCCGAAAGGCGUAGUCGAUGGGAAACAGGUUAAUAUUCCUGUACUUGGUGUUACUGCGAAGGGGGGACGGAGAAGGCUAUGUUGGCCGGGCGACGGUUGUCCCGGUUUAAGCGUGUAGGCUGGUUUUCCAGGCAAAUCCGGAAAACCAAGGCUGAGGCGUGAUGACGAGGCACUACGGUGCUGAAGCGACAAAUGCCCUGCUUCCAGGAAAAGCCUCUAAGCAUCAGGUAACAUCAAAUCGUACCCCAAACCGACACAGGUGGUCAGGUAGAGAAUACCAAGGCGCUUGAGAGAACUCGGGUGAAGGAACUAGGCAAAAUGGUGCCGUAACUUCGGGAGAAGGCACGCUGAUAUGUAGGUGAAGCGACUUGCUCGUGGAGCUGAAAUCAGUCGAAGAUACCAGCUGGCUGCAACUGUUUAUUAAAAACACAGCACUGUGCAAACACGAAAGUGGACGUAUACGGUGUGACGCCUGCCCGGUGCCGGAAGGUUAAUUGAUGGGGUUAGCGGCAACGCGAAGCUCUUGAUCGAAGCCCCGGUAAACGGCGGCCGUAACUAUAACGGUCCUAAGGUAGCGAAAUUCCUUGUCGGGUAAGUUCCGACCUGCACGAAUGGCGUAAUGAUGGCCAGGCUGUCUCCACCCGAGACUCAGUGAAAUUGAACUCGCUGUGAAGAUGCAGUGUACCCGCGGCAAGACGGAAAGACCCCGUGAACCUUUACUAUAGCUUGACACUGAACAUUGAGCCUUGAUGUGUAGGAUAGGUGGGAGGCUUUGAAGUGUGGACGCCAGUCUGCAUGGAGCCGACCUUGAAAUACCACCCUUUAAUGUUUGAUGUUCUAACGUUGGCCCCUAAUCGGGGUUGCGGACAGUGUCUGGUGGGUAGUUUGACUGGGGCGGUCUCCUCCUAAAGAGUAACGGAGGAGCACGAAGGUUGGCUAAUCCUGGUCGGACAUCAGGAGGUUAGUGCAAUGGCAUAAGCCAGCUUGACUGCGAGCGUGACGGCGCGAGCAGGUGCGAAAGCAGGUCAUAGUGAUCCGGUGGUUCUGAAUGGAAGGGCCAUCGCUCAACGGAUAAAAGGUACUCCGGGGAUAACAGGCUGAUACCGCCCAAGAGUUCAUAUCGACGGCGGUGUUUGGCACCUCGAUGUCGGCUCAUCACAUCCUGGGGCUGAAGUAGGUCCCAAGGGUAUGGCUGUUCGCCAUUUAAAGUGGUACGCGAGCUGGGUUUAGAACGUCGUGAGACAGUUCGGUCCCUAUCUGCCGUG
rnacentral:rRNA from 1 species